AGUGAACGCUGGCGGUAGGCCUAACACAUGCAAGUCGAACGGCAGCACAGUAAGAGCUUGCUCUUACGGGUGGCGAGUGGCGGACGGGUGAGGAAUACAUCGGAAUCUACUUUUUCGUGGGGGAUAACGUAGGGAAACUUACGCUAAUACCGCAUACGACCUACGGGUGAAAGCAGGGGAUCUUCGGACCUUGCGCGAUUGAAUGAGCCGAUGUCGGAUUAGCUAGUUGGCGGGGGAAAGGCCCACCAAGGCGACGAUCCGUAGCUGGUCUGAGAGGAUGAUCAGCCACACUGGAACUGAGCCACGGUCCAGACUCCUACGGGAGGCCGCAGUGGGGAAUAUUGGACAAUGGGCGCAAGCCUGAUCCAGCCAUACCGCGUGGGUGAAGAAGGCCUUCGGGUUGUAAAGCCCUUUUGUUGGGAAAGAAAAGCAGCAGGUUAAUACCCCGCUGUUCUGACGGUACCCAAAGAAUAAGCACCGGCUAACUUCGUG
rnacentral:rRNA from 1 species